AUUGAACGCUGGCGGCAGGCCUAACACAUGCAAGUCGAGCUGAUGAAGGGAGCUUGCUCCUGGAUUCAGCGGCGGACGGGUGAGUAAUGCCUAGGAAUCUGCCUGGUAGUGGGGGAUAACGUCCGGAAACGGGCGCUAAUACCGCAUACGUCCUGAGGGAGAAAGUGGGGGAUCUUCGGACCUCACGCUAUCAGAUGAGCCUAGGUCGGAUUAGCUAGUUGGUGGGGUAAAGGCCUACCAAGGCGACGAUCCGUAACUGGUCUGAGAGGAUGAUCAGUCACACUGGAACUGAGACACGGUCCAGACUCCUACGGGAGGCAGCAGUGGGGAAUAUUGGACAAAGGGCGAAAGCCUGAUCCAGCCAUGCCGCGUGUGUGAAGAAGGUCUUCGGAUUGUAAAGCACUUUAAGUUGGGAGGAAGGGCAGUAAGUUAAUACCUUGCUGUUUUGACGUUACCAACAGAAUAAGCACCGGCUAACUUCGUG
rnacentral:rRNA from 1 species